UUCCAGACUCCUACGGGAGGCAGCAGUCGGGAAUAUUGCACAAUGGAGGAAACUCUGAUGCAGUGACACCGCGUAUAGGAAGAAGGUUUUCGGAUUGUAAACUCUUUUAGACAGGGAAGAAAAAAGACAGUACCUGUAGAAUAAGCUCCGGCUAACUACGUGCCAGCAGCCGCGGUAAUACGUAGGGGGCAAGCGUUAUCCGGAUUCACUGGGUGUAAAGGGAGCGUAGACGGCGACGCAAGUCUGGAGUGAAAGCCCGGGGCCCAACCCCGGGACUGCUCUUGGAACUGCGUGGCUGGAGUGCAGGAGGGGCAGGCGGAAUUCCUGGUGUAGCGGUGAAAUGCGUAGAUAUCAGGAGGAACACCGGUGGCGAAGGCGGCCUGCUGGACUGCAACUGACGUUGAGGCCCGAAAGCGUGGGGAACAAACAGGAUUAGAUACCCCGGUAC
rnacentral:rRNA from 1 species